GAAGUAAGACAGACGGUCGCUGCUGCAAGUGCCGAAAGGCCGCAGGAGAGGAAAGUCCGGGCUUCACAGGGCAGGAUGCCGGAUAACGUCCGGUGGAGGCGACUCCAAGGCUAGUGCAACAGAAAUGUACCGCUUUAGUUUCGACUAAAGUAAGGGUGGAAGGGCAGUGUAAGAGACUACCGCCUCGUUGGUAACAACGAGGGCACAUGUAAACCCCAUCCGAAGCAAAACCGAAUAAAAACGAUGUGGCGGCCCGUCACGUUUUAGGUAGGUUGCUUGAGCCUGUUGGCAACAGCAGGUCUAGAUAGAUGACCGUUCAACGACAUAACCCGGCUUAUCGUCUUGCUUCGUUU
rnacentral:RNase_P_RNA from 1 species